UACGUAGGGAGCAAGCGUUUGUCCGGAAUUAUUGGGCGUAAAGAGCUCGUAGGCGGUUUGUCACGUCUGCUGUGAAAACUGGAGGCUCAACCUCCAGCUUGCAGUGGGUACGGGCAGACUAGAGUGCGGUAGGGGAGAUUGGAAUUCCUGGUGUAGCGGUGGAAUGCGCAGAUAUCAGGAGGAACACCGAUGGCGAAGGCAGAUCUCUGGGCCGUAACUGACGCUGAGGAGCGAAAGCAUGGGGAGCGAACAGG
rnacentral:rRNA from 1 species